GGAGGCAGAGGCUGUCCCUGGAAAUGUAACAAAUGGUUGUCAUUUCUUUGGAUGCACCCAGGAGUAGCUGCAAUGCUGUAGCCUGUGCAGGGCCAGUCAUCCCCAUCACUGGUCCUAUAAGUACAUGAGACAGGACAACGAGAGCAUCAGGAUCAGCACGCUGUGCCACAACCCCCACCGCCCCAUCGAAAACCUCAUGGUCCCCAACUACAACACCUCGCGCUGCAUCAUGAGCCACCAGCCCAGCGAGGACGGGGUCAUCUAUGUCUGUGGCUGUGUGGAUGAGCAGGAG